CAGGAGUUUUUUUAAAAUUUUUUUUUAGCUAGGGUUCAUUUUCACUGAAACAUCCUCAUACAGAGAUCUCUCCCCGCAAACCCUCUUCACAGUGGGACCAAGGACACUUGAGGCAAGUGUCCAGUAGGAACUCCAAACCCACCUUUUCCCCUGUAUGAAUUAUCAUGUGUGUUUUCAGGGCGCUCUUGUGUCCA